CGACAAAAAUGUUUACAUCCCUAUCUAUCUUCGUCUAUUGAAAUUAUUUUGUUUGAAGAAAACAAAAUGCAAUAAUAGUGUGCAGAAUAAAAAUUAAACCGAAAGGUGAACUGAAUUUAAAAUCAUAU
ensembl:ncRNA C11G10.11 ncRNA